AUGGCUGUGGGUCGUGCGGUAACACACCGACCGUCCCGGUCCCAAGCCCGCCGAUCGCCGUGCCCCCGCCAGCUCCCGUGCCCUCUCCGCCUUCGACCGGCGGCGGGGGGCGGCACCUGCUCCAUCGACACGCUGAAGCUGAAGGUAUGCGACAACGUGUUGAACCUGCUGAAGCUCAACCUCGGCGUGCCGACAAACGAGCAGUGUUGCCUGCUUCUGAGCGGCCUCGCUGACCUAGACGCCGCCGUGUGCCUCUGCAGCGCCAUCAAGGCCAACGUCCUCGGCAUCAAGCUUAACGUGUCCGUCGACCUCGUGCUCCUCCUCAACCAGUGUGGCAAGACCUGCCCCGCCGACUUCAGCUGCCCUAGCUGA
rnacentral:rRNA from 1 species